UAUCAAUCCAGUUGAAGCUGUACUAUUAUUGCAUUAUCUUUGAUCAAAGUUAAAAAUUAAUUCAGUUUUUAUUCUUGUAGUUUAAUGGCACUCAGCAUUCGAGAGCUGUGUGAUGUUGAGUAUAAAUUAUUUUAUAAGAUGAAUAAUUUUAGUGUUUCAUUACGGGCUGCAUAAGAAAUUCCCGAAAGAUCGAUCACCAUCGAUCCAACGAUCAUCAAUCUGAUUGAUAUCCUAAAUGGCAGUUCGAUCAGUUAAUGGUGAUGACACUCAAGUUUUCAUCAAUGAUAAUCGUGAAACAAGUGAGAGAACGAGUGCUUGUUGUCAUAAAUUUAAAAUAGAACUCAGAUGAGCACAAAAAAUUAUUGAACUGCUACAAGAAGAGAUAAACACUACCAUUCGUACCCGCCAGAAGAGAUACUGUCCAACAUCAAGAUUGAGCCCGAUGACAGCAAACGGGACCUACAGAUAGCUCUCAAGAAAGCACGGAGACUGAAGCUGCAGGAGGCUGCUUACAGAAUCAAAAAACAGUGUAGAAAAGGUGGCAGAGUCAGUACUGGGGAGAAACUCAGAAGGGAACACGGAAGGUGGUUCCAUUGUGGUGAACGCUACAGCAGAAUUCUGCCGUACGUUGGGUGACAUCCCCAUUUAUGGUCUGGCUGGCAACAGGGUUGAGGAUGCUCAGGAACUGCUUGACUUUGAGAGGGAAAUGAUUGAAGAGAAGAAACAUCAGGAAGAAGAAGGCAAACGUGGAGCUUGGAAUGAAGUUGAGAUUGGGCAACCAUCUCAAAAACAAAACUGCAAAUUCUUCAUGAAAUAUGCUGGCACCAACUCUGAACUUUGGCGUGGACUUAUGUUUUUAUUGUUUCUUACUGCCUGGAAUAUCAUCUCUAUUUUUAAAUAAGACACAGCUUGCAGCUGCCGACAGUGCCUAUGUGUACUGGAAGGAAGGUCACAGAGUUCAUGUCACAUUCAAAUGAGUACAGUGGUUCUCCUGCUUCCUUAGGUAACCUGUUGGCACCUGUAAGCUAAGAAGUAAAAUUUCUAGUGAUUAGUUGCUUGCUUAUAGGACUUGAACCAGGUGAACCGCCUCUAAGCUAAAUCAGUCAUGAAGUAAUUAUAUUUGGCCUUUCGUGAUUGCAAUAGCAAUAUUGUACACCCCCCAUCAAUGCUGCAUUCAAGCCUGCAAGUUGGUCACUGAAAAGUGUGACAUGUAUCCUUCCAAGGGAAGAAAGAAACCCUUGUUCAGUUGUAGGCCAGUAUGAAAAGCUGUAAAAUUAUACAAGCAACAGAAUCAGAAGAUGUACAGUCUACUGCAAAUCAUUGUAAAGCACCACUGAUAUAUCACUGGAACAUUUGUAGUGGGUUAUAAAAGUAACUUGGUUCAUCCUGGUCUGUCGCACUAGUAACUGUAUGUAAGGGUUUUAACCACUGGCCAGUGUGAUUGAUAAAAGUUGUUUUUAAUUUUUCAUCCUUUACAUGUUUCAGUCAAAAUGACCAUCUUCAGAGAGAUAUUAUCAACACAUAUGGAAACUACUGCUACAUGUCAUACAUACAUAUGUUAUAUCUUUUAACUAAUUAAGAUGUACAUUGAUUUGUUAAAAACAUCUAAAAAUUAUUACAGUUAGUCUGUUUGCAAAAUAAUGUUCAGUAUUUGUUUUAAACUAGAACCAAUUUGGUUUCUUGUCCUUACACUUUUGUAAUAAUUUUAGAUGUUUUAACAAAUUAAUGUGCAUCUUAAAAUUAGUUAAAUGAUAUAACAUAUAUACCUAUGACAUGUAACAGUAGUUCCCAUAAGUGUUGAUAAUAUCCUUCUGAAGAUGGUCGUUUUGACCGAAACAUGUAAAGGAUGAAACAUUAAAAACAACUUUUAUCAGUUGUACUGGACAGUGGUUACAAAUCUUAUAUGAGUAUGCGGUUAUAGAAGUCCUGUGUUUAAUCCACAUGCAGAUGAUCAAGAGUCUUCUGUAAGUAUACAAAAACUCGAAAGACACAUAGACUCGGCCAAUAAUGUCAGGUCAUGAAACUGUGUAAGACGGAUCUUAAGGCAUCUUCUUGGAGGUGGCGAUAAUGAUUUGAACCCAAAAUGUUUAUAUAAGCCAAUGCUGAACAUUAUCUGAAGUCUGAAUUGUAAUCCUGAUGUGUUACUAAUCUUUGCUUAUGAAGGUACACAGACAGACUACACGUGUUCCCAAACUUACAUUUUUCUUGAUAUCAGGAAUGUAUAACUGUAAGUUGACAACCUCAGUCACAUAUAUUCCAGCCACCUAAUUAUUUGAGACAGUUUCAGUAUGUUUUAGUCUUUGUUAAUAGAAAUUAACUUGAAAUCACAUUAUUACAAAAGUUGUUACAUUUGUGUAUUUCUUAAUGAAACAGGGAUUAUAAUUUAAAACAUGUACACCUACUCCAUUAGGUGCAUGCAGAAUAUGUUGUUCAGUUAAUGUGGUUACUUGCAAGGUUGGAAUUAUGUGUGGAGUUGAUUUUAGUAUGUAACAUUCUCACUCAGAGCAGUCUGCAUAUUGUAAUUGAUGGUCAUUACUAUCUGUCCUUACCAUAGGUAAUUAAUUUUUCAGUAAAUGGUUUUCAAACAAAAGGUAUGACACACCUAUCAAAAGAAACUGAAGAUUUUGUUUCUUUAUUGGUCAGUAUCCUGUUGAGAAAGAUACAAUAAAAUAGUUUUACUUCGUGUAGUAUUUAAAUGUAUAUCAUCUUUAGGGAAAAUGAUAUAAAAAUGCUUAAAUUUCGUGAUAUAUUUGUAUGCACUCAAAGUUUCACUGUAAACUUGAGGUGGCUACGUGCAGUUGGAGCCCAGGCAGGGCCACUGAAGCAUCAGGCCGAUAGCUUUAGAUGGUUGCAAUGGUAGACUUGCCAUUUAUUAAUUUGUACAGAUUUCCUAACAGACUCACUACUGUGAUGAAGACUUGUUCAAACAAUGCUCUGAGAAUUGAUUUCAUUAUGUAAUGUAAUUCAUCUGCACUGAUCACAGUUCAGUUUAAUCAGUACAGCACAAUUACUGUA